CUGAAAUUGAAUUGCAGCCUACUGG
rnacentral:misc_RNA from 1 species